rnacentral:lncRNA from 10 species
AGCUGUUGGAGCAGGCCAGCGGUGAGAUCAUUCGCGUGUCUUAGGUCCGGAUGGGCUGGAGCGCCAGGAUAGACCAGAAGUACAUGUAAUUCAGAUAGGACAAGAAGCCUUGUGGAGAGGAAGAGGGCACAGGAGAUGAGACACAGAGUUCACCCACCCAAUCCCAAUCACAGUCCUGUCCCCAGGCCCAAUUGCAUGCCCUGCUCUGCAUCAAACCCCAUCCCCAAACCUAUUCUUAAACCCAUCACCAAUUCCAUUCCAUACCCUAACCUAUUCCCAAACCCAUCUCCAAACCGAAACUCACCUUCAUCCCCUACACUGUCCCUAACCCAUACGCAAACUCCAACCCAGUCCCAUCCCCAUUAUCCAGCCCCAUGUGCAUCCCCAAUCCCGCCUCCCACUUCAGUCACUUCCUAUCUAGCCCUGUCCACAACCCCACCCCGUCCCAAAUGCUAUCCCAAAUGCUAUUCCUGUCUGCAUCCCUGAACCCAUACCCAAAGCCAACCUCAUCCUCUCCCAUACCAGUCAUCAGGAAGAGGAAGACACUGGCCCAGGUCAGGUAGAAGCUGAGUGCCAGCUGGUAGGUCAUGCCUUCCUGCAGGUACCUGUGGGCCUGCAGCAGGUAGAACAGGAUACCCAGUACGAUGCUGGUUCCUGCAUGAGCACAGGUGUUAGGAGGCUGAGAAUCAGAUAUGUAAGGACUCCUUCCCAUAGUCAUGUGGCUGCCUGGCUCUGGCUCAUUAUUUCCCCACUUUCUUUAACCUCCCAGACCCUGUACCUUUGCUCCUAAGCAUGAAGAUGGGCUUCUGACCAAGUCCUGCUAGAGGACACUGAAAGGGCAAGCCUUGGGCUUUAACCAGGCAAUGGAAAAUUUAAAUUGGGCUCCAGAGAAGAGACAUUGAGACUGAUACUUCCAGCACUGAGGAUCUACCUCUAGAAGUCUAGCUCAGAACUUGGCCUCCGGCCUGGGCACUGCCUCAUACCUGCCAGAAUUGAUCUCAAUGGAGCUGCACAAUGAGAGGUUUUGCAUGUUGUCUAGAGGACUUUGGUUGAGUUCAGAGCUGAGCACACUUGCCUUCAGACUCUCCUGGGACUCCCAGUUCUCAUCCAUAUGAGCAAGGGCUUCAUGUUACUGGCCGUGGCCCUGUGCUGAGUCCUCCUCCCGCCCAUGGCCCUCUCCUCCUGGCCAGUGGUCCUCCGCCUGAACAUGGCCGACUUUGUCUUCAGUUUCCUCUGCCUCGGCAUUGGGCUCCUGAUUUCUCUUCAGCCUGACGCUCUUUUCAGUUAACGGCAAGGCGGUGCACCCAAGUCCGGUGGUGUCCUACCUGGUGACCUCCUACCUGUGCUGGGACGCCAGCGACUUGAUGCUGCACUCCGUAGGGUGGGACUCGGAGUACAGCGGCCCACCUAGCCAUCUCCCAGGAGCCGUGUCCUACCUAAGCCCAGUGGGCAUGUGAAGCAGAGGGCAGCCCUUGAAUGCGCGGCGGCUGAGCUACCGCGGGUGGGCCGUGCAGCAGGGCGCAGCGAGGCGGACAUCCAAACAGCGGAACUCAGACGCUGACUCCGAGCGCACCCCGGGCCUUCCCAUUUCAUACACCCUCGAGGAUGAGACCCAAGCACCUCCAAGGAAUAGCACCCGAGGUCUUCAGGACACCGACCGGUAGCCAUGGCCAGAUGCCCGGCCAACCCCUUCAGCGUGGCCACGCCCUGGAUAUUCGACCUCCCCUGAGGCCCCACCCCCUGAUAUCAGGCCACGCCCUCCGAGGGGACCGGUGGCAAACUCCAGCCCUCGCUCUAGGGCCCGCCCUUUGCGGCUUUGUCCCUGCCCACUGGGUCCUCACAGUACCUCCACCCCAGAGGCCCAGCAUCCCCUCCCGUUCUGCAGACACUUGUCCAGCGUCCCGCUGAGCUCGGCAGUGUGGCUAGUUUGUGUGGCCCUGCCCCUGGUGCCCAGCCAGGGUGGUCUGCAUGGAACUUCUUUCCCGGAGUUCCGGCCUCAGCUCCGAUGUCCACCCUUGUCCCCAGGUGGACACAGCACCGCCCAGCAUUUGGUGCAACUCCACCCUUCUGCAGAACGGGCCCCUCCCUGGGAAGGCAUGGCUUGCAAUAACAUCCCUCUGUACCUUUUCUGGCUUCCCCGCCACAAUAAAACCUCUCAGCCUCAGACCUUCCAUUGCCCCCCACCUCCCCACCAGGGCAGGGUCCAUCCUAGUGUGAGUGAACUGUUCUGGCGUCCCUGACUUGCCCUUUGGGA